CCCCUUUAAGCAACAGUGGCUUGCUAAUGACCAUCGUCGUCAGAAGGGCAGAGCUAAAGCACCACUUUUGGGUGAAGCAGCAGCAUGUGUGCUGUUUUGCUUCAAUCAGUGGUGUGACAAGA
ensembl:snoRNA